rnacentral:lncRNA from 1 species
UUGCUUUUGCUCUUGCUCUUGCUUGGAGCUGGGGCCGGAACCUCAGCAGUAGUUGGUGCAGCAACAGGAGCCGGAGGAGAGGCCGAGCUCUCUGGUGGAGUCGUCGGUGCAGCAACGGGAGGCGAUUUGGCUGGAGGAGAGCUCACAGGUACUGGAGCAGGUGGAGAACUCACCGGAGCAGCAGCCGGAGGAGAAGAAGCCGGAGCAGAUUUAGAUGGGGCUGGAACCGCCGCAGACUUCUCCGGAGCCGCAGCCGGUGGUGAAGAAGUUGGUGGGGAAGUGGUAGGGGCAGCAGUUGGAGCCGGUGAUUUAGGUUUGCUAACAGGGGCAGUAGCGGGAGCAGUAGCAGGAGUAGCCGCGGCCGGCGGAGCUUUAGUAGGUGAGGCUGCCGGAGAUUGACCACCGACAGCGGUUACCACAAAGCAAAUCAAAGCAACUGCAAAUGCACUUCUACGAUCCAUUUCUUGAAGACAGAGGGAGAGUGAAGUAGUAACAGAAACUAAUGACAACGAGACGACAGACUCUCAAUAAAUAUAUAAAUAAAUGAGGGAGAGAAUCAGAAAAAAUGAUGAUUAUAAAAAGAAAAGAAGAAAAAGUUAGGAACGUGUUUGGAUCAGAAAUAGCCGUUGGAUGAGAAGCUAUUUCGGGGCCCACCGUCAUCAAAUUGUAAUGUGGCGAUCAAGACUCGACAGUCUGGAUUGGGGCCCACAUACAUGAACCAUGUAAUUUGUUGUUACAUUACCUGAUUAGGGUAAACUACACCCAAGGUCACUGAAGUAUUAAUAAAUUUACAUUUCAGUCGUUUAACUUUAAAAAGUUACAAAAUAGUCACUAAAUCAUUCGGAAGUUUUUAUUUAAUUCAUUGAGAUAUUAAAUCUCUGUUAUAUGGCUUUCUUUAUUCACACGGCCUACACCAAUCAAAAGAUCUUAUUCUCCUUCUCUUCAACAAUUUAAUUAUUUUCAUAGAAUAAUUUUGAAUGUUAUGAAUUUACGAAUCAAAAUUCAAACAGUUUUCUUUUUCAAUCUCUUACAAGGUAUGUUCUUCUACUCUUUGAUAGGUACUAAUCCAUUGUAUCAAUCGUCAUAAAAAAAUACUUAACAAUUCAAUGACUUAAAUAAAUACUUUCAAAUAAUUUAGUGACCAUGUUGUAACUUUUUAAAGUUAAGUGACCAAAAUAUGAAUUUACUAAUAAUUUAGUGACCUUAGGUGUAGUUUACCCUACUAAUUAAUAUUAUAAUAAAUGUUUAAUUCUAUCCCCAACCUCUGUACUCUUUGGGGUUUUAAAAUUUAGCCUUCCUACUUUUGAUUUUAAAAAUUUAGUUUCUCUUCAUUUUUAUUUAAAAGUCCAAUUCAUGAAAACUUGGUUAAAUUUUAAUAUUCGAAGCUUUGAUCUAAAAAUAAUAAUAUAUAUUUAAAUUGAAUGGAAAUGUUAUUAAUUAAAUUUUAAUUUUUAAAUCAAGCAGGAGAGAUAGGGAAUUAAAAUUUAAAAUUAAAAUUUAAAAGCUGAAAGAGUAAAGGGGUUGGAAAAAAUUAAACCUACAAUAACUAAUUGAAUGAUACAAUUGUUAUGAAGUAGUGAGACAGCUGGACGUAGGGAGAGUGGGGUAUUGCUGCGCAAAGAGACAAACCAAUAGGAGGCGGCCGCGUGACCGGGUAAAGCAGUUACGGGUGAUAUUUUGAGAUGGGUCACCGACUCACCGGCAAGAAACUGUGUCUCUGCAAGCAAAACUUGUCUGGAAUAACGUGACGUGUAUUAUACUUAAACACCCUAACCUUUUCUCUUUUCGUUAAAAAUUGUCAAGUGGCUAAGGCUUUUUUUUUUAUCAUCUAUAUAUUAGAGUUUUAAAAAAAGUUUUGCAAAAUAGUUGAGUUGUGUAAUUAUUUCACCUCCACCCUUUGGCCUCUCUCGGUACAUUAUUAUGUAAAAGUGAGUAUUCCACUGAAUCGAUUAAAAAAUUUUGAGUUAAUUGAGUUAACGAGUUUUAUUUUAUCAUUCUAACUCGAUUUAAUUUUUUUUCAAAUUGAAUUGAGUAAAAUAAAAUUCGAGUCGAUUCGAAUGAAAUUGUUUGAGUUAAAUUAAAAAAUUAAACAUGUUAAAUUAAAAUCUUGUUAUACUAUAUAGAGGUGCUCAUGGGCCGGGCGGCCCGGCCCGGCCCGACGGCCCGCCCGAAAUAUGGGAGGGUUUGGGUAAAAAUAUAGGCCCGAAAUAUGGGCUUGGGCAAAAAAAUGAUGCCCGAUUUAAAAACGGGCCGGGCCUCGGGCACAACUUUUUUGGCCCGGGCCCGGCCCGGCCCGGCCCGAAUAUAAUAAAUAUUUUUAUUAUUUUUAAUUUUAAAAUACUUUUAAAAUACUUUUAUUAAAUUUUUUAAAUUUUUAAAUUUUUUUAAAAUACUUUUUAAAUUUUUUUUAAUUUUAAAAUAUUUUUAAAAUACUUUUUUUAAUUUUUAUUUUAAUUUUUAAAAUAAUUUUUUGGUAAUUAUUUAAAAAACGGGCCGGGCCGGGCCCAGGCUUAUGAUUUUUUUCCCAGGCUGGGCCUGGGCAAAAUUCUAGGCCCAUAUUUUGGGUCGGGCCAAAAAAAAUUUUUGGGCCCGGCCCGGCCCAGCCCAUGAGCACCUCUAAUACUAUAACUAAUUCCAUGUUAUAACACAUAAAUUUGAAACCAUAUAUAUUUGAAAACUUUUUCAAAGCAGAAUAAAAAAAUUACUUUAGUAUGAUAAACUUGAAUCAUUAAUUAACUUAUUUAGGUCCCAAAAUUAUUAUUCUAGAAAAUUUUUAAUAUUUUAACUUUCUUUAUAUUUUUUUAGAUUUUUUUUUGAAAUUUUUAUAAUUUUUAAAAAGUAUAAAUUUGGAAUUUUUAUAAAUAUUUUGAAAUUUUAAAAUUAUUUUGUAAUUUUUAUUGAGAGAGUGGUCAAUUUGUUCAUUUUCAAACUUGGCAGAGACCAAAAAGGUAUUUAUACCAAUAUGUUAUUCGAAUUAUUCGAGUUAUUUUAAUUGUAAAAUUCAACUCGAUUCGAACUCGAAACUCGAAUUACUUACUCGAGUUGACUUGAAUAAUUCAAAUAACUCGAUUCAAUUAACUCAAAAUUUAAUUUUUUUCGGAUUAAAUUGAAUUUUGCUCACUCCUAUUAUUUUGCACAGCAUCACAAUAUAGAUUUUUCGGUUUUAAAAUAUCGCCGAUCUAUAUUCUUCUUCAAUGCUAUAAAGCUCGACCCUUCCACAAUCAUUAUCUAUACAUCAUCAUCAUACAUUGUAUGAAUCGUAGAAUAUAUUACUGGAUUGUCAUAUAUAAUAAAUUUAUAUCUAUUCAUCAUCAUCAUACAUUAUACAAAAAUAUAUAAUAUGUCAAUUUACUACAUUCAUGAUAUGGAUUGAAAGAUAAAAAUUACACAAAUAAAAAUUACAUUUACUAAAAAUAAUGAUAUUUUCAAUAAUUAUUUGAUUUUAUAAAUAAAAGAGUUAUUAAUUAAAAUGAUAAAUAAAAAAUAAAAAAAACUUGAAAACAAUAUAUUUAUUAAUUAUAAAUAUUAAUUAAAAAUAAUAAAAAAGUUGAAAUAAAAAAUACAUAUUAAAAUUCUUAUAAAAGGAAUCAAACUUAGGACUGAAAGAAGAAAUCACAAUUAUCUAACCAUCUAACCAAAAGAGCUAAUGUGUCAAAAAUAUUAAUUUAAAAAAAAACUUAAAAUAACAUGAAAUAAAAAUUACAAAAGUGAAUAGGAGAGGAAUUGAACCUAAGACUUAAGACUAAAAACACUAACACUUAACCAUCUGAUCAAAAGAGCUAAGUUGUCAAUUUGUGAAAACAUGACACAUGUUCAGCUGACGUAGCUAAAAAUAUGCCCUAUAAGACGCAUUUUCAAUGACAUAGACAGUGAAAAUGCACCAUGUAAGACGUGCUUUCCUUUCUCUCUUCAAAACAACAUUGAUAAAUUUAAAAAAAACAACAUAGAUAAUUAAAUGUAGAUUUUUUUUUUCAGCAUAAAUGGAUAAAUCAACCUGGUAUAUAUUAAAUUAAUUAUAUUAUCUUAAUUAUUUAUUUGACUGAGUCUUAUUAAUGAAUGCCAAAUAUUAUAUAUUAUUAAUUAAUAUUUGCCUUCUGUUUCGAGCAAAUAAGAAAGCUUCAUAUUGGCCAUUUACACGCACACACGCAUAUAUAUCAUAGUGUAUUAUGAAUAUUCCAAGUGAAGGGAAUUUGCAUGCUUUUGGCUUUGGGUUGAUGGGAAAACGACAAAAACACCAAUAUUAACCAAUAAAAUUAAAAGCUUUAGAAUUAAGGACGAAUCACGCUUGAAAGUAGGCAUUGGGUCUAAUACAGUUUGUAUACAUUUGAUGCUUCAAAUAAUGCAUUUUGAAAGUUUGCUGCUUGGGCUUACAUUUUACAGGGUUUUGUUGUAGAGAAAAAGAGAAUUUUUAAUUUGUAGAGUCCUCUUGUGAAGUGCUUCUUCUGAUACGUGGCAAUUGUGAAUGUAAGAAGUUUCAUACAUGUAAGUCUGUCUGGUGUUUGCAGCCGGGGGAGAAGACGAUAGGAACCAAUGAAUAACGUCUCUCCUGGUUUAUGCCCCCAUGCCUAAUUAUUUUUUACUCAAAACUGUUCUUUCAGAUUAAACUAAAUAUUCAGAUUGAUUUGUAAGAUAUGCAUUUGCUGCCAUUUUAAGCUUUCCUGUACUUUCAUUGGAACAUUGUCUAACCAAACAACUCCUUUUUUCCCUGUAAUGGUUCAUGAGCUAUAUAUGAUCGUUUCAGUUUUGUUACUUUUACAAUGUUUAACCUGCACAAAUGAUCUUGGGAUUCAUUAGCAUUGGUAUUAGUAAAAUAAAUUGUGAUUUUAUUAAAAUAUAAUAGAGAAAUAAAAGACAGAAAAUGGGUAAAUGAAGGGGAAAAAAAAAAAGAAUGGGGGAAAUUACAUAGGAAAAAAGAACUAGAGUUUCCGCCUCUCAAUACACCAACCAAAGAAUUACAACGCAGAAUGUGGAAUGUGAUCAAAAUCAAUCUAGAAGCUCAAAGCAAUGGCUGCCCAUCCCAACGCCAACCCUCCAAUUAUCUUCUUCAUGUUCUUCAUUGCCUCUGCUCCACUCUGCAUUUGUUUAUAAUAACUCUUUAAAUGUUACAAAUAAAUAUAGUUUUAAGAUGAAAAAAAGAUCCAUUGGUCGGUCCUUUUUCAGAAAAGUAAAUGAACUAGCUCAACGGUGCAUCCUUUAGACGCGAUUAAAAGAAAAACAAGAUCUCUCUACAUUUAUGCAGUGUAAAAGUUCAGAUCUGAAAGCGCAUUGUUAUAUGAUGUAAGCUACUGAAGCGUUAGUAAAGCGAAGAGAAUGUACCUCAUCGGCAGCGACAGAUGGACCGGGAGAGGAAGCAUCGAGGCUAGGUCCAGGAGCUCCAGUUGGUGGAGCGGGAGGUCCAAGCAUAUCAGGUGAAGGAGCCGGAGCAUGGUGUUUCUUGGAUUUCUUGCUUUUGCUCUUGCUCUUGCUUGGAGCUGGGGCGGGAACCUCAGCAGUAGUUGGUGCCGCAACAAGAGCCGGAGGAGAGGCCGAGCUCUCUGGUGGAGUCGUCGGUGCAGCAACGGGAGGCGAUUUGGCUGGAGGAGAGCUCACAGGUACUGGAGCCGGUGGAGAACUCACCGGAGCAGCAGCCGGAGGAGAAGAAGCCGGAGCAGAUUUAGAUGGGGCUGGAACCGCCGCAGACUUCUCCGGAGCCGCAGCCGGUGGUGAAGAAGUUGGUGGGGAAGUGGUAGGGGCAGCAGUUGGAGCCGGUGAUUUAGGUUUGCUAACAGGGGCAGUAGCGGGAGCAGUGGCAGGAGUAGUCGCGGCCGGCGGAGCUUUAGUAGGUGAGGCUGCCGGAGAUUGACCACCGACAGCGGUCACCACAAAGCAAAUCAAAGCAACGGCAAAUGCACUUCUACGAUCCAUUUCUUGAAGACAGAGGGAGAGUGAAGUAGUAACAGAAACUAAUGACAACGGGACGACAGACUCUCAAU